AUUGAACGCUGGCGGCAGGCCUAACACAUGCAAGUCGAGCGAGCGGCGGACGGGUGAGUAAUGUCUGGGAAACUGCAUGAUGGAGGGGGAAAACUACUGGGAACGGGAGAUAAUACCGCAUACCAUCAAAUGUGCCAAGCUGGGAUUAACUAGUAGGUCGGGUAACGGCCCACCUAGGCGACGAUCCCUAGCUGGUCUGAGCGGAUGACCAGCCAGACUGGACCUGAUACACGGUCCAGACUCCUACGGUAGGCAGCAGUGGGGAAUAUUGCACAAUGGGCGCAAGCCGGAUGCAGCCAUGCCGCGUGUGUGAAGAAGGCCUUCGGGUUGUAAAGCACUUUCAGCGGGGAGGCGUUACCCGCAGAAGAAGCACCGGCUAACUCCGUGCCAGCAGCCGCGGUAAUUC
rnacentral:rRNA from 1 species